rnacentral:lncRNA from 1 species
ACACAUCACACACACACAUCAUACAUCACACACACACAAACACACCCACACACAUAUAUCACACACACACACAUCACAGACACACAUAUAUCACAUCACACACACACAUCACACACACACACACAUCACACACACACACACACAUCACAUAUCACACACAUCACACACACACAAAUCACACAUACACAUAUACACAAAAAUCACACACACAGAGAGAUGCACACACACACAUGACACACACAGAGACAGAGACACGUAUCAUGUCACACAUAUUACAUACACACAGAUUACAUCACACACAAAUUACACACAUACACAGAUACAAACACACACAUGACACACACAGAGACAGAGGCACGCAUCACAUCACAGACACACGUCACACACACACACAUCACACCCACAACACACACACAUACAUACACACACACACAUCACACACACACAUCAUACAUCACACACACACAAACACACCCACACACAUAUAUCACACACGCACACAUCACAGACACACAUAUAUCACAUCACACAUCAUACAUACACACACAUCACACACACACACACACAUACAUUACACACACACACAUCACACACACAUCACACACACACGCACACACACAAACACAAACACAUCAUACACACACACAUCACACACACACACAUCACCCACACAUCAUACACAGACACAUCACACACACAUCACACACACACACAAAAAGACAUACACACACACACAAAAAGAGACACACACACACAUCACACACACAGACACAUACACAUCACACAAAUGUCACACAUACAUCACACAUACAUCACACACACACUCACACUCACACACACACACAAUACACACACACAUACAUCACAUAACCCAUACACACACACAAACACACAUCA